rnacentral:rRNA from 1 species
GCAGAACGCGAAGAACCUUACCUAGGCUUGACAUGCUGGAGAAAGCUUUCGGAAACGAGAGCCCCUCUUCGGAGUUCCAGCACAGAUGCUGCAUGGCUGUCGUCAGCUCGUGUCGUGAGAUGUUGGGUUAAGUCCCGCAACGAGCGCAACCCUUGCCCUUAGUUACCAGCGGAUAAUGCCGGGGGACUCUAGGGGGACAAACCCGUAAGGGUGGGAAGGUGUGGAUGACGUCAAGUCAGUAUGGCUCUUACAUCCGGGGCUGCACACGUGCUACAAUGCCUGGUACAAAGCGAACCGACCCCGCGAGGGUGAGGAAACCGCUAAAGCCAGGCCCAGUUCAGAUUGGAGUCUGCAACUCGACUCCAUGAAGCCGGAAUCGCUAGUAAUGGUGUAUCAGCUACGACACCGUGAAUACGUUCCCGGGUC